rnacentral:rRNA from 1 species
GCCGCGUGAGCGAAGAAGGCCUUCGGGUCGUAAAGCUCUGUUGUUAGGGAAGAACAAGUAUCGGAGUAACUGCCGGUACCUUGACGGUACCUAACCAGAAAGCCACGGCUAACUACGUGCCAGCAGCCGCGGUAAUACGUAGGUGGCAAGCGUUGUCCGGAAUUAUUGGGCGUAAAGCGCGCGCAGGCGGUCCUUUAAGUCUGAUGUGAAAGCCCACGGCUCAACCGUGGAGGGUCAUUGGAAACUGGGGGACUUGAGUGUAGAAGAGGAGAGUGGAAUUCCACGUGUAGCGGUGAAAUGCGUAGAGAUGUGGAGGAACACCAGUGGCGAAGGCGACUCUCUGGUCUGUAACUGACGCUGAGGCGCUAAAGCGUGGGGAGCAAACAGGAUUAGAUACCCUGGUAGUCCACGCCGUAAACGAUGAGUGCUAAGUGUUAGAGGGUUUCCGCCCUUUAGUGCUGCAGCUAACGCAUUAAGCACUCCGCCUGGGGAGUACGGCCGCAAGGCUG